rnacentral:lncRNA from 1 species
GGGCGCUGUGGCUCACGCCUGUAAUCCCAGCACUUUGGGAGGCCGAGGCGGGUGGAUCACCUGAGGUCAGGAGUUCGAGACCAGCGUGGCCAACAUGGCGAAACCCCGUCUCUACUAAAAAUACAAAAAUUAGCCGGGCGUGGUGGCGCGCGCCUGUAAUCCCAGCUACUCAGGAGGCUGAGGCAGGAGAAUCGCUUGAACCCUGGAGACGGAGGUUGCAGUGAGCCAAGAUCAUGC